GAUGAACGCUGGCGGCGUGCCUAAUACAUGCAAGUCGAACGAGGUCUUCGGACCUAGUGGCGAACGGGUGAGUAACACGUUGGUACCUACCCCGACGUGGGGAAUAACGGCCCGAAAGGGUGGCUAAUACCGCCUAAUACCGCAAGGUUAAAGCAGUAAUGCGCUUCGGGAGGGGCCUGCGUCCCAUUAGCUAGUUGGUAGGGUAAUGGCCUACCAAGGCGACGAUGGGUAGCUGGAUCGAGAGGUUGACCAGCCACACUGGGACUGAGAUACGGCCCAGACUCCUACGGGAGGCAGCAGUAAGGAAUCUUCCACAAUGGACGAAAGUCUGAUGGAGCAACGCCGCGUGCAGGAUGACGGCCUUCGGGUUGUAAACUGCUUUUAUACGGGAAGAUUAUGACGGUACCGUAUGAAUAAGGACCGGCUAACUACGUGCCAGCCGCCGCGGUAA
rnacentral:rRNA from 1 species